UUUCUCGUAUCAUCCGUGGAGUGAACAACGGUGUCCUGUGCCACGCGGUCCCGUGUGGUAGGGCCCGGGUGGCGGUGGCGUGACGAGGCGAGGCAGAAGACGUUUUUCUCAUCGGAUUUCGGAGUGCGGAAUUUUCCAAGUUACCGCAUCUUUUAGAAGGUGGUUAUCCGAAAUUCCCUGCAAAGAAAUUCGUGAAACGCCGUGUGAGGUCAUCGUCCGUUUCAGCCGUUGUGCGUGCGUGUUCCUAUGGCACACGUGUGUGAGUGCAACGCGCUGCGACGUGAAAAAAGCCGAGCAAAGAUGGCUGCUACACCAUUUAGCACGCCGCCGGUACAGCGGCGUGGAAUUGUGGCAUCCGUUUCGGUCUAGCAGGCGUCUGCUGACCACGUGCCCAAUUUUCUUCUUCAAAAUCUUCUCAUCGCGUCAUGGCGUCAUCAUCGCACAUGGAAUUCAUGCGAAACCGCUUCUAUUUAUUUUAACGUUCAGCAUCUCGAACGUACUUAUUACCCUAUUCGGGUAACGUCGAUGGAUGUUCUUACCCCGCGAGAUGGUGUACCGACUUCUACCUAAGCAUCAUACGGCUGAUCUCCAAGGCGGGAGUGAUAAGCGGUUGGCUUCAUUUAGGAACGGCGCAUCAUCCGGGACCCGGCAGUAUUGACCACCUCGUCGUACUGUCUUCGAUUUGUUUUAAAGGCAUCGAUGGACGAAAAUCUCAACCAUUCUAAUUUCGGAUGUUUAAUUAGUAUUAACACUGCACCGAAGUCGUAGACUCGAUAUUUCUGAUAGCUCAUCGGGAGCCCCGGCUGGCCAUUCUGUUUUUUGCUCGCAACCGCAACGUGCGGCCGAGGGUAUUUUUUUUUUUAUAGAUUACCAGAAUUUCUAGCGUCACUCCGCGGUAUUUGAUAGUGCGCUUCCAGUUAUCCGACAAGGUUCCCGCCAGUAACAUAAAUUCCCCAGGUUUAACCCAGUUACACUUGUAGAAGUUGCAUGAACCUUUGGAUUUACUGCCUAAACGGCUCUUAUCUAGUUGUCCCUGUAUGGACAUGCAUGUUACCGGAAGCACCAUUAGGUUCUCUACUUCGUUCAACAGGGACUGCAUUGCAACAAAACUAUACAUUCCUGUUUGGCACUGAGAUUGACAAAACUUUAAUUAUCAGUGCCUAUGAUGCGUCUACAUGCGUGUGUGCGUAAUGAGUAUGCUGUAAAGUAAAAACAAGAAACAUCAAGCAGUAAACUUAAAGAAGAUCUUUAACAAAAAGUAAUCCCGAAUAAAUUAGGUAACAACCCCAAGACACGCUAAUUGAGAGAA